rnacentral:lncRNA from 1 species
UGCUAUCUUUUAAAGAUUUUUUUAUUUUUGUUUUUGUUUUUUUUUUCAGUCAAUAAACUUGGACUUUGCACCUUUAACUAACUUGAUACAGCUCCAGACAAAGCUAAGAGUCUAGAUAAGCAGUCAGUCCAGUUGUGGAUUGUGUCAGAAAAAUGACUUUGGCAACUCAUGUAGAGACUAUGCUCAGGUUCCCGUGUCCAUAAAAAUUGGUAUAAUAACACUCAUUCCCCUUUUAUUUUGCAGACAUCAUAAAGAUGAAUAAGAUAAUUAAAGGAACCCAAAUAUAUGGGCAUAAACAUAUAAACCUGAGGUAGGACUAUUAUUAUAAUGAUGUUAAACAAUGAGCAUAUUCAAAAGCUAAGUAAUUAAUACAAACUGUCCAAGACCAUUUUUAAAUAUUGCAUGCAUAUGGAAAUUUGGAAAGCAAGAAGGAAUCACAAGCUGGGCCACUGGGAAAGUUCGAGAGCCCUAAUCCUGCCAGAGGCACUGCAGGGUGUAGUCACUUUCAGCACUCCUGUCUGACAACUCCCAGGAAUUAGUAAAUAAGCUGAAAAUGUGAAGUCAUGCAAAGAUUUGUUUGAAAAGCAAAACGUUUCAAUAAAAGGUCUUCCUGGAUUAAGAAUCUAAGUAUGAUUUUCAUGAACCACCACCACUAAAGAUCAGAUAAUAUUAUUCAUGCUGCAAUUUGAAAGAGAAGCAAGAGGAAGAUCAGACCGACUCUGCCACUGCAUAAAAUCAUCCCCCUGGGAAUGAACAAAGCAUUCCGAGAAUGAGAAAUGGAAUAUUGGUGACUUCCUGGCUAACAGUUCCAUCUAGAGUCAACUGCGGUCAUGAUUUUCCAAUAACAGCCUGUUACUAAACCAAGAGAGGGAACCAACAAUGCCUGAGAAGAUUUGCAAGAACUUUGCCCAGCUGAGGCCCUUAAUGGAUGCAAUGAGGACAACUAACUCAAUCAAAUUCUCUUUUUGAAAGAAGAAUAAACUCUAAGUAAAGGGAAAGCUAUGGCAAUCAUGAGAAGACCUUGGGUUUUGACAGUAGAGACCUAGGACAGAAGUGGCCUGGACUGCUGAGUUGGAAUGCUGCCCAAACUCAAAAGAAAACCAAGCUGUGCCCUGACCACCUUGGACACAUGUCACUGGGACCUCCUGAAGCUGUGUCACAGGAUGGUAGAAAGCAGUCUUCAGCCUGAGACCCAUCCGUAGGUAAGUAGCUGAAUUGGGGUUUUAUCUUGGCUGAAGUUUAACAACCAGGUGGUCUUAAUUUCUCCUUACCAUUAUGGCACUCAGUGAUCAUAUUGUGGGUUUCUGUUGUUGUUGUUGUUUGUUCCAGCCUUUUUCUCAUCAGAUUUGACCAACUCUAACUGACUUGGUCAGAUCUAAGUGAGAAUUCCA